GUUAAAUGCAUCCAUGUCCCCUCUGAGAAGAAGAUUUACAGUUGACAACCGCCUCGUAUGGGAAUGAACAAGUUGUGGACAAUCCAGCAUUUGUGAAGGAGGAUAAAUUAACAGAUGACCUGAGUGACCGUGACAAAGAGGAGUCAGAGGAGUCAAAAUCAUGCCUAAGGACUUCACACGUGCAAGAUCUUUAGCUAUGUAUUCAUUGUUCACCAUAGCAAAGCAUGCAUACCCAUCACGGCCACAGAGACCUUCUGCAAGAAACACUCCAAAAUAAUCAAAUACAUUGCUUUGGGAAUACUUGCAUAUAACAUAUCUUCCCAGUUUUAUAUCUAUAAUUGU
ensembl:lncRNA